rnacentral:rRNA from 1 species
UACGUAGGUGGCGAGCGUUGUCCGGAUUUACUGGGCGUAAAGAGCGCGCAGGCGGUCGUAUAAGUCGCGUGUGAAAGCCCCCGGCUCAACUGGGGAGGGUCACGCGAUACUGUUCGACUCGAAGGCAGGAGAGGGAAGUGGAAUUCCCGGUGUAGUGGUGAAAUGCGUAGAUAUCAGGAGGAACACCGGUGGCGAAGGCGGAUCUCUGGGCCGUAACUGACGCUGAGGAGCGAAAGCAUGGGUAGCGAACAGG